ACGCUCGACACCUACGGGAGCAGCAGUGGGGAAUAUUGCACAAUGGGGGGAACCCUGAUGCAGCGACGCCGCGUGAGGGAAGAAGGUUUUCGGAUUGUAAACCUCUGUCCUUGGUGACGAUAAUGACGGUAGCCAAGGAGGAAGCCACGGCUAACUACGUGCAGCAGCCGCGGUAAUCUGAGCGGGCUGGCAAGGC
rnacentral:rRNA from 1 species